UAGGAUUUAAGGUUUGGUUAGGAUUUAUUUAAGAUUUGAUUUAGAAUUUAGGAUUUGGUUAAGUUUUGAUUUAGGAUUUAGGAUUUGAUUAGGAUUUGAUUUAGGAUUUAAGAUUUUAUUAGGAUUUGAUUUAGAAUUUAGGAUUUGAUUAGGUUUUGAUUUAGAAUUUAGAAUUUGAUUAAGAUUUGAUUUAGGGUUAGGAUUUGACUACGGUUUGAUUUAGGAUUUUAUUAAGAUUUGAUUAGGUUUUGAUUUAGGAUUUAGGAUUUGAUUAAGAUUUGAUUUAGGAUUAGGAUUUAACUACGGUUUGAUUUAAGAUUUAGGUUUUGGUUAGGUUUUGAUUUAGGAUUUAGGUUUUGGUUAGGUUUUGAUUUAGGAUUUAGGAUUUGGUUAGGAUUUGAUUUAGGAUUUAGAAUUUGAUUAAGAUUUGGUUUAAGAUUUAGGAUUUGAUUAAGAUUUGAUUUAGGAUUUAAAAUUUGGUUAGGAUUUGGCUAGGAAUUGAUUUAGAAAUUAUGAUUUAUUUAGGAUUUGUUUAGGAUUUAAGAUUUAAUUAGUUUUUGGCCUAAA
rnacentral:lncRNA from 1 species